rnacentral:rRNA from 1 species
UACGUAGGGACCAAGCGUUGUUCGGAUUUACUGGGCGUAAAGGGCGCGUAGGCGGCGCGGUAAGUCACUUGUGAAAUCUCUGAGCUUAACUCAGAACGGCCAAGUGAUACUGCAGUGCUAGAGUGUGGAAGGGGCAAUCGGAAUUCUUGGUGUAGCGGUGAAAUGCGUAGAUAUCAAGAGGAACACCUGAGGUGAAGACGGGUUGCUGGGCCAACACUGACGCUGAGUGAGCGAAAGCCAGGGGAGCAAACGGG